rnacentral:rRNA from 1 species
GACGAACCGAGCGAACGUUGUUCGGAAUUACUGGGCGUAAAGGGCGCGUAGGCGGCCUUCUAAGUCGGACGUGAAAUCCCUCGGCUUAACCGAGGAACUGCGUCCGAUACUGAAAGGCUUGAAUCCGGGAGAGGGAUGUGGAAUUCCAGGUGUAGCGGUGAAAUGCGUAGAUAUCUGGAGGAACACCGGUGGCGAAGGCGGCAUCCUGGACCGGCAUUGACGCUGAGGCGCGAAAGCUAGGGGAGCAAACGGGG